UUUGCAUUUGUGCGUGAGAUAUUUGUGUACACGUGUGUUUGAUUUCGUUUGAAAGUUAAAAACUUAUGGAAUGGAUGCCGAACUUGAAAAAAACUGGCUGCACCUUUACCUCAAAUUUGCACCGAAAAGAAAGAGAAAGGAAGUGAUGUCAAAAUAAUAACGUUAUAUUCCUGAUAUCUUUUACGGCACAUGAUUGGGCCAAGCGCCUUGUCCAGGGUUCGCACAGGGCUUGAAAAGUGCUUGAAAACGAGUCCAAGGCUUGAAAAGCCCUUGAACAAAGGUUGGCCUUGAAAAAGUGCUUGAAAAGUGCUUAUUUCAUGUAAAAAAGCCUUGAAAAUGUUUAUUUAUGCUCAAAAUUACUUUUAUCAUCGCUUUAAUUAUUUUACUUAAAUCGUUCUUAAGGGAAAUAUUAUGAAAAUUUAUCAUAAAUUCCUUCGCGCAAAAAAGUUGAAUACGAAAUAUAAGUUUCGUACACUAUUUAGUACGAAACGUUAUGUGUACACGUCACAGAUUAUGUGUACUACGUCAGAGGUUCUCCAUUGUGAUCAAUUUUUGCGAGUGAAAACGCAGGGAUGGGGAAGUGUCGUUUCAAACCAGGGUGGUUAACUGAAUAAGAGGAGAGAGCUGGAAGAACUGGAAAAGGAAAUCAAUUCUGUUAAAGACAAAAUGUUAUAGUAACUGACUGCUGUUCAAAUGUAAUGAACUAGUCUGUUUGAUGUGAGCAUAGAAAGAGACAAUGUGUUUGUUUGUAAUAACUUUUAAAUGUAAAUACAGUACAGCCAAUGCGGAACAAACGUAUUUCGCGAUCCGCGGCGGCAAGGCGAAACGAGUCGAUGCCGCUUCAGUCGUUGAAGCCGCGUCAGUAUGCGGCGGCAAGUCGCAUUUCGCCGCGAAACUUCGCAUCUGUCCGCCGAGGCAUGCCGCGAUCCGCGACAUGAUGCCGAGUCGAUGCGCAUCAUGAAAUAAAAAAUCUUCAAUUUUUUUAGUUACAUGUAGUUAACAAAUUUUGAAAGAACAAUUAUAAUAAUAAUUAAAAUCAUAAUAAAUGUAUUGUGCGCGGAUUGUCUUAGCAUAUACAUGUAAGCAUAGUUAAUGUGUCGGGCCAAUUAAGUUUGUUUCCCGCCCGUAGUGUAUGUAUUUCACACAUAAACACUGUCACGUAAUUAUGUUUUCGCACAUACAAGUGGUCAAGGCUCCAGCAUAUGGUUGAUUUAUGAAUUAAUUGCAUGUUGAUUUUGCUAUUAUAUUUAAGCUAAGAAAAUUAGCAGCUUGAAGCCACAUCAAUAAUCAAGACGGUGACGACGUAUUUGUUGUUUUGUUAAUUAUCAGCUUAUUAUAACUAUUGUUUGAAUAUGUGUAUGUAAACACGUUUUAUUUUGUUCAUAUUAUACAGUUAAUAUCGCUACUAAUUACCCGAUAAUUCUGUAUAUUCCAGUUUUAAAGCAAAUGCUGGUAAAUAUUUACGAUACACAAACAUUCUCGAUAUUUCCUUAAGUAUCAAAUACAUUUUGGCAUGUGUUACUAUUUAUAGAGAUGAUGAAAUAACGUCUAAUCGGUGCUUUUUUUCAACUGAACACGCGAUUUACGCUUGACGUGAUGUUCAUGUAUUUAUACAACACAAAAUACACCCAAACUUUCCAAACGACGUUCUACAUGUCUGCAUAAUUUUCGCGCGCUUUUUAUGAAACAAAGGAUAUUUUAGCACUGUUUAUUUGACGCUAGAAUUUGCCAAAGGUCGCGUUAGCAUUAAAAUUCGGAAGUGUGUUUCGGAUUACAAAUUUAAUAAUGAUAAUCGAACGAAACAUUAACAGUUGCGCGUAAUUAAUUCUACGCUUCACAUACAUGUAUGUACAUGUAGGUGGAUAUCUUUUCACUCGAUCUGCCGCGUACGUAUGCGGCGGAUUUACUCCGCGAAAUUACGCGAGGUUAAUACAGACUCUGCGUCGUUGCGCGUAUCGAUGCCGAUUGCCACGGCGAUACGCCGCGUGAACACACGAUUCGGCGGCCGCGUACUAAUAAUCUGGCCGUGGCGUAGCCGCGGAUUAUGUUUGAGCCGCGUUGGCUGUACUGUACAUAUGUGACACUCAUUGUGUUAAGGAUGGAUAACCUGUAUUUCUAUGUAAUAACUAGAAAUAACAUGUAUGAGUUAUUGUGGAAUAAGUGUAAUGUGUUUGAGCAAAUAAAAAAAAUGAUAUUUACUAUGUAAAUCUGGUUUGAAAAUGCAGUUUUUAAAGGAAACUAACGUACGGUGCUCGGCCUUGAAAAUGAAAAUUUGGCCUUGAAAAGUCCUUGAAAAGUGCUUGAAUUUAGGUUUGAGAUUUCUGUUUGAACCAUGUUGUCACAUAGACAGCGGGUUUGCCUGUGUUAAAAAGGCUUACAGACGAAGCGACGUGGAGACAAUGGACGAGUUGGCAGCGGUUGUGGACGGAUCGAGUAGCACGAACGCUGCAGUUCGUUACCCAGCGUGAUGCUGGCGUAACUGGAAGUCGUUCAUAGGCGAACACUUCAAUGCGCUACCUGGCAUACGGAAAUAUCAGUAUUUCCGAAUGUCGUCUGCCUACCCUGGCGUUGUCAUGGCGAAGACAUGCAGCGACGGUGAAGAAACCUCUUUGUGUUAAUUGAAGAAACCAGGUUUCCUCUUCACGAACACCGACCGUCCAGUUCAGCUGCUCGCUCCUGGAUUAUCUGCAGCACGGCGCGACUACUUGCGUGAUAACGUGCGACCUCUAUUGUCAGCUCGGGGUCAGGAAGGCUUCGCGUGUUAGACAGAAUGUGACAUUUUUACUGUUCUAACUGUGCUUAGUGUUUAUUUAACCAGUUAUUGUUAAUGUAUUAUUGAUUCUGUACUUUGUUUGUAUAACAAAAGUAUAUAAACAUUCCGAUUUCAUUUAAAUUAUCAAACAAA